AAGGAAUAUUGGUCAAUGGACGCAAGUCUGAACCAGCCAUGCCGCGUGAAGGAUGAAGGUCCUCUGGAUUGUAAACUUCUUUUAUCUGGGACGAAAACGGGAUUUUUAUCUCAAUUGACGGUACCAGAGGAAUAAGCACCGGCUAACUCCGUGCCAGCAGCCGCGGUAAUACGGAGGGUGCGAGCGUUAUCCGGAUUUACUGGGUUUAAAGGGUGCGUAGGUGGGCUUAUAAGUCAGUGGUGAAAUCUCCGAGCUUAACUUGGAAACUGCCGUUGAUACUAUAGGUCUUGAAUUAUCUGGAGGUAAGCGGAAUAUGUCAUGUAGCGGUGAAAUGCUUAGAUAUGACAUAGAACACCAAUUGCGAAGGCAGCUUACUACAUAUAAAUUGACGCUGAGGCACGAAAGCGUGGGGAUCAAAC
rnacentral:rRNA from 1 species